CAUAUCCAAAAGCGGAGGAAAAGAAACUAACAAGGAUUCCCCUAGUAGCGGCGAGCGAAGCGGGAAGAGCUCAAAUUUAUAAUCUGGCACCUUCGGUGUCCGAGUUGUAAUCUCUAGAAAUGUUUUCCGCGUUGGACCGCACACAAGUCUGUUGGAAUACAGCGGCAUAGUGGUGAGACCCCCGUAUAUGGUGCGGACGCCCAGCGCUUUGUGAUACAUUUUCGAAGAGUCGAGUUGUUUGGGAAUGCAGCUCAAAUUGGGUGGUAAAUUCCAUCUAAAGCUAAAUAUUGGCGAGAGACCGAUAGCGAACAAGUACCGUGAGGGAAAGAUGAAAAGCACUUUGGAAAGAGAGUUAACAGUACGUGAAAUUGUUGGAAGGGAAACGCUUGAAGUCAGACUUGCUUGCCGAGCAAUCGGUUUGCAGGCCAGCAUCAGUUUUCCGGGAUGGAUAAUGGUAGAGAGAAGGUAGCAGUUUCGGCUGUGUUAUAGCUCUCUGCUGGAUACAUCUUGGGGGACUGAGGAACGCAGUGUGCCUUUGGCGGGGGUUUCGACCUCUUCACACUUAGGAUGCUGGUGGAAUGGCUUUAAACGACCCGUCUU
rnacentral:rRNA from 1 species